rnacentral:rRNA from 1 species
AGAGUUUGAUCCUGGCUCAGAUUGAACGCUGGCGGCAUGCUUUACACAUGCAAGUCGAACGGCAGCACGGGGGCAACCCUGGUGGCGAGUGGCGAACGGGUGAGUAAUGCAUCGGAACGUAUCCUUGAAUGGGGGAUAACGCAGCGAAAGUUGUGCUAAUACCGCAUACGACCGAGAGGUGAAAGCGGGGGACCGAAAGGCCUCGCGCAGCAGGAUGAGCCGAUGUCCGAUUAGCUAGUUGGUGGGUAACGGCCUACCAAGGCGACGAUCGGUAGCUGGUCUGAGAGGAUGAUCAGCCACACUGGGACUGAGACACGGCCCAGACUCCUACGGGAGGCGAC